AUUGAACGCUGGCGGCAUGCCUUACACAUGCAAGUCGAACGGUAACAGGUCUUCGGAUGCUGACGAGUGGCGAACGGGUGAGUAAUACAUCGGAACGUGCCCGAUCGUGGGGGAUAACGAGGCGAAAGCUUUGCUAAUACCGCAUACGAUCUACGGAUGAAAGCGGGGGAUCUUCGGACCUCGCGCGGACGGAGCGGCCGAUGGCAGAUUAGGUAGUUGGUGGGAUAAAAGCUUACCAAGCCGACGAUCUGUAGCUGGUCUGAGAGGAUGAUCAGCCACAUGGGGAUGGAGAACGGGCCCAGAUCCCAAGGGGGGGCAGAAGGGGGGAAUUUUGGACAAGGGGCGAAAGCCUGACCCAGCCAGGCCGGGGGCAGGAUGAAGGCCUUUGGGUUGUAAACUUUUUUUGUACGGAAAGAAAAGCCUCUUUCUAAAAAAGGGGGGUAAGGCGGGUACCGAAAAAAAAAGCACCGGCUAACUACGU
rnacentral:rRNA from 1 species